GAUAAAAAACCAAUGCCCUUCGGGGCUCUUUGGUGAUUCAUGAUAACUUCUCAGAUCGCAUGGCCUUGCGCCGGCGACGGUUCAUUCAAAUUUCUGCCCUAUCAACUUUCGAUGGUAAGGUAUUGGCUUACCAUGGUUUCAACGGGUAACGGGGAAUUAGGGUUCGAUUCCGGAGAGGGAGCCUGAGAAACGGCUACCACAUCCAAGGAAGGCAGCAGGCGCGCAAAUUACCCAAUCCCGACACGGGGAGGUAGUGACAAUAAAUACUGAUACAGGGCUCUUUUGGGUCUUGUAAUUGGAAUGAGUACAAUUUAAACCUCUUAACGAGGAACAAUUGGAGGGCAAGUCUGGUGCCAGCAGCCGCGGUAAUUCCAGCUCCAAUAGCGUAUAUUAAAGUUGUUGCAGUUAAAAAGCUCGUAGUUGAACCUUUGGCCUGGCUGGCAGGUCCGCCUCACCGCGUGCACUUGACCGGCCGGGCCUUCUUUUCUGGAGAACCGCAUGCCCUUCACUGGGUGUGUUGGGGACCAGGACUUUUACUUUGAAAAAAUUAGAGUGUUCAAAGCAGGCCUUUGCUCGAAUACGUUAGCAUGGAAUAAUAGAAUAGGACGUGCGGUCCUAUUUUGUUGGUUUCUAGGACCGCCGUAAUGAUUAAUAGGGACAGUCGGGGGCAUCAGUAUUCAAUUGUCAGAGGUGAAAUUCUUGGAUUUAUUGAAGACUAACUACUGCGAAAGCAUUUGCCAAGGAUGUUUUCAUUAAUCAGUGAACGAAAGUUAGGGGAUCGAAGACGAUCAGAUACCGUCGUAGUCUUAACCAUAAACUAUGCCGACUAGGGAUCGGGCGGUGUUUCUAUUUUGACUCGCUCGGCACCUUACGAGAAAUCAAAGUGU
rnacentral:rRNA from 1 species